rnacentral:rRNA from 1 species
GAUGAACGCUGGCGGCGUGCCUAAUACAUGCAAGUCGAGCGAACGGACGAGAAGCUUGCUUCGCUGACGUUAGCGGCGGACGGGUGAGUAACACGUGGAUAACCUACCUAUAAGACUGGGAUCACUUCGGGAAACCGGAGCUAAUACCGGAUAAUAUUUUGAACCGCAGGGGUCAAAAGAGAAAGACGGUCUUGCUGGCACUUAUAGAUGGAUCCGCGCUGCAUUAGAUAGUUGGUAAGGUAACGGCUUACCAAGGCAACGAUGCAUAGCCGACCUGAGGGGGUGGUCGGCCACCUUGGAGCUGGGCCACCGUCCAUGCGCCUACGGGAGGCAGCAGUAGGGUACCGUCCGCAAUGGGCGGAAGCCUGACGGAGCGACGCCGCGUGAGUGAUGACGGUCCUCCGAUCGUAAAACUCUGUUAUUAGGGAAGAACAGAUGUGUAAGUAGCUGUGCACAUCGUGACGGUACCUAAUCAGAAAGCCCCGGCUAACUACGUG